CGACUACGUCAAGUCGAAAGAUCGGUUCCUGUACGAUCAUCGAAGUUAAGCAACGUCGAGCCUGAUCAGUACCUAGAUGGGUGACCGCUUGGGAAUACCAGGUGCUGUAA